GAGCUGCUUUCAGCUGGCCAGUGCAGGUACCGACAGCAACAUAGCUGGGACAGACGGAAGCAUAUCCCAUGCUGCAGUCCAGGUGGAUCCAGAGUCUAUUCAGGAGAUAGUGGGGUGGGAACACAGGAACAGUGAGUCUAAUGGAGCUCACUGGGUGCAGUCAUAAGAAGGUAAGAGGUGGAUAAGGCCAAAUUGUGAAAUUUUUCACUGAUAGGAGAUGAAAAAGAAAAGAAACAUUUAAAAAAAAUGUUAAAUGUUGAUUAUUCAGCCUUAAAGUACCUGCCAUCUUUGUGUCCACUGACAAAUGCUAAGCAGCCCAUUUUGAUGGAGCUGCUUCAAUCAGCACCUAAGACAACUGCUGCUGUAUUCCAGAAGGCCAGAUGUGUAAAAAUCACAGCAGAAUUUUGGGGCUAAGAUGUGCCAAACACUUCCUGAAGACGUUUUUAUUUAUCUGAGGAGCUAAAUUAACCCUUGCACAACUUACUUCAUCUUGCAACAUAAUGUCUUGAGAAGACAUUCACAAAUAAAAGUUUCUAUCUGCUUAUCAUUUGUGAUUUGCUUCAAAAUUACAUUAAUAAAAGACUGAAAGCUCA